rnacentral:rRNA from 1 species
GUUUAGUGGCGAACGGGUGCUUAACACGUGGGCAACCUGCCAGGAAGUGGGGGAUAGCUCGCCGAAAGGCGAAUUAAUACCGCAUGUGAUUAGAGAGGACAUCCUUUCGAAAUUAAAGUCGGGGCAACCUGACGCUUCUUGUGGGGCCCGCGGCCUAUCAGCUAGUUGGUGAGGUAACGGCCCACCAAGGCUUUGACGGGUAGCUGGUCUGAGAGGACGACCAGCCACACUGGGACUGAGACACGGCCCAGACACCUACGGGUGGCAGCAGUCGAGAAUUUUUGACAAUGGGGGAAACCCUGAUCGAGCGACGCCGCGUGGAGGAUGAAGGUCUUCGGAUUGUAAACUCCUGUCAUUGGGGAACAAUGUCCCGCUUUUAACUGAGGCGGGAUUGAUAGU